rnacentral:lncRNA from 1 species
GAGCGAGAGAGAAGCUACGAGAGAGAUGGAAUUCGUGGUGGUGGUGCCUAUGACAGGAGUGGCCCAAGGGGCGGUGCAAGCUAUGACAGGGACGGCCCAAGGGGCGGCAUAGGUGGUGGCUAUGACAGGGAUGGUCCACGUGGAGGCGGCGCCGACUAUGGCAGCGGUGGGCCUAGUCGCUACGAGGGAGGAGGUUACAGGGAGAGGCCUGCACCGUAUGACCGCCCCAGGGGAGGAGGGCGCUUCGACGACCGCUACUAGUGACCUGUUGCUGCAGUCGAGCUAUGUAUUUGCGUUUUAACUUUCAGUUUGGCAUGGCCGAAUGCUUGAUGAGUACUCUGUCGGCACGGUUAUCUCUUUUCUGUACUGCAAAUGUUACUCCCGGUGGGCACUGGUAGUUUACCCAGCAGACUGUUUCCGUGCUGAGUUGAAUCUGUCAUGCCCUGGCUGCUGGCUACCUUUGCUGAAUGAUGGUUUAUGUACUUCUGCAUGAUAUUAAUCAAUCUGAACUUAUGAAAUCCUGCUGCUCUGCUGUGGUUGGUAUGAGAUCCUGCUGCUCUGCUGUGGAUGAAUCUUAUGGCACGGUAAUAUCUAUUCUGUACCAGAAAUGGUACCACAACUGGAGUUUAUCCAGCAGACUGAGCCUGCUAUGACCUGGUUGUUUUGGCUGUCGGCUACAUUUGCUGAAUGAUGGUUUCUCAACUUGUGCAUGAUUUCAUCGAUCUGAAUUUAUGAAAUCCUUCUGAAUGACUUCGAGAAGAGUGACCAAAAACUAUGCUCUUUAGACAGAGCAUCAUGAUUUGACGAAUGGGCUUUCAUACUUGUCUUCAUCACGUGUUAUUUAGGUCAUUUGUGCUGACUGUAUGAAUUAGAAAUGUAAAAUAAGUUUUUGUUUUUGUUUAGUCCAGUGUUUCUGUAAAAGUGCUGUGCAAAAUGUAUUUGAGUGUCGACCCUUCGUGCUAUGAAUACGAACUUACUCUUUGAUUCAACAUAUUUGGGCCUCCUUUGGUUUGUAGGAAUGUCAUAGGAUUUCUAUGGGAUAGGAUUCGUAUAGGAAAAUUUCUUUUGAGGCCCUUUGGUUUGUAGUAAUGAAUUCCUAUUCCUAUAUAGGAUAGGAAUCAAUCCUUCACAUUUUGGAGGGGGAAAAACAUUAGCCAAG